AAUAUUGCACAAUGGGCGCAAGCCUGAUGCUAGCCAUGCCGCGUGUAUGAAGAAGGCCUUCGGGUUGUAAAGUACUUUCAGCAGUGAGGAAGGUGGAUAUGUUAAUAGCAUAUUCAUUUGACGUUAGCUGCAGAAGAAGCACCGGCUAACUCCGUGCCAGCAGCCGCGGUAAUACGGAGGGUGCGAGCGUUAAUCGGAAUUACUGGGCGUAAAGCGCAUGCAGGUGGUUUGUUAAGUCAGAUGUGAAAGCCCGGGGCUCAACCUCGGAAUUGCAUUUGAAACUGGCAAACUAGAGUACUGUAGAGGGGGUAGAAUUUCAGGUGUAGCGGUGAAAUGCGUAGAGAUCUGAAGGAAUACCGGUGGCGAAGGCGGCCCCCUGGACAGAUACUGACACUCAGAUGCGAAAGCGUGGGGAGCAAACAGGAUUAGAUACCCUGGUAG
rnacentral:rRNA from 1 species